GUCUACAGCCAUACCACCCUGAACGCACCUGAUCUCGUCUGAUCUCGGAAGCUAAGCAGGGUCGGGCCUGGUUAGUACUUGGAUGGGAGACCUCCUGGAAAUACUGAGUGCUGCU
rnacentral:rRNA from 1 species